CCGCACUUCAACGGCUGGAAAAUAAACGGUUACACGGCUAACUCUACAACCUUUACAGUUUGCAGAUCUAUAACUAACUUACUGUUCCUCCUACUGAGCGAAGAUGGAGACGAGGUGGUAUUUGAGAAAUCCCAUUCAAUUAAUUACAAAAUCAACCAGACCCAAACGCCCAACAAGCUCUGGUUCUACGAGAAACAUCGUCAUCCUCAAGUUAGUUGAACUCUGGGAUAUCACUACUGAGGGGAGCUGAUCGAUAGACAUGGCCACCGGAAUCCUCGCGACGGCCCUCCACGCUUUCCCGAGCCCACUAUACAUCCCCAUCUCCGCAACCGUCGUCGUCGUCGUCGUCGUCCCAGCAGUACUCCUCCUCUUAAAACUCCACACGGAUCCACUAAGACACAUCCCGGGCCCGCUCAUCGCGCGACUCACCCCCCUCUGGCUCUGGACCCUGACCCACCGCGGCAUCGAGUGUCGCACCCUCGCCGCGCUCCACAGCCGCCACGGCCCCGCAGUGCGCAUCGCGCCCAACGAAGUCGACCUCUCGGACGGCGCUGCGCUGUACCCCCUCUACGCGAAGAAUGGCGGCUGCGCCAAGAACCCCGUCUACGCCAACUAUGACAUCGACGGAUUCGCGACGAUUUUCUCCGCCGUGGAUCCCAUGCAG
rnacentral:sRNA from 1 species